rnacentral:rRNA from 1 species
AAAUGGAUUCGUCUGCCCAAGGAUGGGUCUGCGGCCUAUCAGGUAGUAGUGGGUGUAAUGUACCUACUAGCCUACGACGGGUACGGGUUGUGAGAGCAAGAGCCCGGAGAUGGAUUCUGAGACAUGAAUCCAGGCCCUACGGGGCGCAGCAGGCGCGAAAACUUUACAAUGCGGGAAACCGUGAUAAGGGGACACCGAGUGCCAGCAUCCUAUGCUGGCUGUCCGGGUGUGUAAAAUACACCUGUUAGCAAGGGCCGGGCAAGACCGGUGCCAGCCGCCGCGGUAACACCGGCGGCCCGAGUGGUGAUCGUGAUUAUUGGGUCUAAAGGGUCCGUAGCCGGUUUGGUCAGUCCUCCGGGAAAUCUGACAGCUCAACUGUUAGGCUUUCGGAGGAUACUGCCAGACUUGGAACCGGGAGAGGUAAGAGGUACUACAGGGGUAGGAGUGAAAUCUUGUAAUCCCUGUGGGACCACCUGUGGCGAAGGCGUCUUACCAGAACGGGUUCGACGGUGAGGGACGAAAGCUGGGGGCACGAACCGGAUUAGAUACCCGGGUAGUCCCAGCCGUAAACGAUGCUCGCUAGGUGUCAGGCAUGGCGCGACCGUGUCAGGUGCCGCAGGGAAGCCGUGAAGCGAGCCACCCGGGAAGUACGGCCGCAAGGCUGAAACUGAA